UACGUAGGGCGCAAGCGUUGUCCGGAAUUAUUGGGCGUAAAGAGCUCGUAGGUGGCUUGUCGCGUCUGCCGUGAAAGCCCAUGGCUUAACUGUGGGUCUGCGGUGGAUACGGGCAGGCUGGAGGCUGGUAGGGGCAAGCGGAAUUCCUGGUGUAGCGGUGAAAUGCGCAGAUAUCAGGAGGAACACCGGUGGCGAAGGCGGCUUGCUGGGCCAGUUCUGACGCUGAGGAGCGAAAGCGUGGGGAGCGAACAGG
rnacentral:rRNA from 1 species